AGCGAGGUAGAGCAGCCUGGAGUGCUCGCUGGGCUCAUAACCCAGAGGUCCGAAGUUCACAUCUUCCCCUCGCUA
rnacentral:tRNA from 1 species